GUCAGUGAUAGAAAAAAUUGAUUCUCUUUUUUGGCGGGAAGAGAAACGCGCCUUUUUUAAAAUCGUCCUAUAAUUAAAAUUAAUUUUAAUAGUA